UCAUAAAUAAAGUGUAUAUUGCUUUUCUUUUAUAAAUACAGGUUGGCACUAAUGGGCUUCCGUAUUAUUUUGUAACUGGAUUCUAUAAUGAAUUUCAGCACAUUAGCUGAAGUGGUCAGUGUUAUGGGAUAAUUAGGUUAAAGAUUCACACAGCAAAUCUGGAUUCUAAAAAUAGAUUUUCAACAACAACUAGCUGCAGCUAAUGAGAGCAGCAGGUGUUUGUGUUAGGGAGUAUUCUAGGUCAAUUAUAAAUAAACUUCAGAUGGGAAGAUUAGAUCCGCCUAACAUGCUUUAACAUAUAUUCAUACGCAGUAAUUUUACAUCAUACAGGUAUUUAAUCAAAAAUUUCUUUAAAAGCAUAUGAGGCAAAAAGAAUGUUACAGUAUGAAAUUUUAUACAGUUUUUACCUCUUAAGUUUAUACAAUCACUCAAACCAAAGCAUUUUUUGCUAGAACUAUUAUAUUUGGCGUAUGGAUCACCUUGAUGAAUGUGUGAAAAAUUUUACAGCUCUGAAACGGUUAUGUCGACAGGGAGUAGCUCGCUACGCGAGCCAACUCAAAAAGUAGGUCACCGUGACCUACUUUUGAGUUAACAUGAUGUGAAGUCAUAAGAUGCAUCAACUUACAAGAUUUGAUGAUCCUAGUCCUUAUAGUAAGCAAAAUAUACACAUUUUUAUUAAUUGUAAAUUUAGGUCAACUUUGAAGUGACCUUGAGACCACGCCCUUUGCCCCAGGGUAAUUCCCCGUGCAAAUUUUAAUCUUCGACAUAUCCUGAUUCUUGUAUGUAAGUUUGGUGAAAAUCUGCCUGGUGGUUAUGGAGAAGAUUUUUUUAGCAACCAGUACUUUUGGUUUUGUUUUCCUGAGUAUCUCCCCUUGUUUUAGGGUCCCAACCCUUAUUUUUGUAUAAAUGGUAGCCCUUGGGCCAAGGAUACCCUGUAACAAAUUUGGUACUGAUUGGCCAAGGGGUUCUUGAGUUAUGGCCCGUAUUCUAAAAAGUUUACGCACACCGCACAAAUGGCCAUAGCAUUAGCUCUUUGAGCCUUUGGCUCAGAAGAGCUAAUAAGGAUGAGCACUUAA